GACCUGUUGAAUGCUGUGGUUUCUACGUUAGGCUAAAUAGUGUUCCUGUGUUUUAUUUAUUUAUUUUUUGGGGUAGGAAGCUGCGAAUGGGAGAGAAGCAAAAGAGUUUCUAAGGCCCUUCUGAAAUCAAGUAGGAGCUAAGGCUACGUUGUUCCACAAAGCAUAGCAUGGGUCUUCUAAGAAGACCUGCAUGAAAGAAGAAUGAAGUGUCCUCAUUUUUUUUCUUCUCAACUAAGAGAUGUAAGAAAAAAGCACAACAAGAAGUUCAUUCAGAAGUCCUUCAUUCUCCUUGUCUUCAGUACUUCUGCUCUCUGGAGUAGACAAUGCUGGUGCCACUGGAGAGGAACUGAUCUUGCUUGUUGCUGUAGGCUCCUUAAAGCAUCUCCACACUUAUAGUUUUCUGCAUCAGAAAUAGGGUUCACUGUGGUGUUUUGCAUAAUUUAGAAAUGAGAUCAGAUUUUACUGUCCAGAGGAGAACUGAAGCUCAAAUGGAAUGGCAAUUAUCUUAAUUUGCAAGUCGUGGCUUACUACUUGAGUAAUUCAGUGCAAAAGAAGAUGAUGAUGUUGGUGUUAAGGAUAAAAUGUUCACACUGUGCAUUUCAGAGGUACUCUGGUCUAUGCCUAGACUUAUGCUUUGGGUAGAUGCCUGGCAGUGCCUGGAGUGCAUGAACUGACCUCCAGAGUACAUCUUCCACAUCACCUUCAUCCAAAAUCAGUCUGUUUGUGUCCUCUGUGUUGUAAACCAAAGUGUGUGGUAAAUGAAUACAGUUAGAAAACUUCCUUCUGAUAUUCCUAGUCCCAGCUGAAAUGCUUAUAUAGACCAACUUAUGGCCUUUAAUGAUAUGCAAGUAAUGUAAUAAAUUCAAGUUACUGUCCUUGGGGAAAUCAAUAUCCCUGUUUUUCAAGGUGAUGCCUGAUGUGUAUCCAAUCAUAAGAGCACGAACUCCCAAAUUUCUGUGAGCUGAGAGAACCAGCAGGUGAACCCAAAUGACCUGAAACUGAUGACUGGUAUUUGUCAAUAAGGCCAGCUCUUAACAUAGUCUGUACUUGUCUUCCGAAGGGGAAGAUACACUUUUCUCCAAUCCAUAACGAAAUAUGAGUGCUUGAUUGUUCUUAUUCUGAAGGAAGAGACUGCUGAAGGUAUUAUUUCAGUAGCACUGGGAAGCUUUGUUUUGCUAAGCAUUUUGUUGUGCCUACCUAGACUAAACAAAGUAGUUCUAAAGCUAUAGCUGAAUACCACUGGCUUUCACUUUCUUUAAGGAGAGGUGUUUUAGAUUUUAUUUCUGAAAUAGUUACUCAUGGCCUAAAUUUGAAAGCACAGCAGUUAAUUUUAAGGAUGUUGAAGCUGCUAAAAUGAAAGCUCUAAUUUCACUCAUCUUUUUGGAAACUGGUAAGACCACUGCUUGUGGACUAAAGUAUUGUCUGAGUCAUAAACACAGAUCUUAUAGGUAAAUCUACUGGGAGAAAAAUGUACUUGGAUUCCCAUGUAUCUUAAUGGUUGUGGCAUUUCCCUUUCUGCCCCAGAGCAAAAAGCCCCAAUCCACUGAAGCGCUUAGCCUUGAGUAGUGCCUUGGAGAUCAAUGGGACUGCUUACAGUGAGUAAAACCUGGCACAUGUUUAAAUGCUUUAUUGGGUCACAGACAGACUGAAUAACACAUACAUAACGCUGUAUUCGGAUUCACUAUAUUCAGUUCUCAGGUCUGUAUUGAUCUAGAUUUUGAAGGCUUUUGCUGAAGUAACUUUUAAAGUAAAUUUUCUUUUUUAUAAACACAAAAUGAAUUUGAUAUAGUUGCUCCUUUCACUCAGAGAUCUGAAAAUACUUUAAAAAUAUGAAUGUAUUGAUCUUUCACUAUAGGGAGAGUGAGUAGUAGCAACCUAUAAAACAGAUGAGGAAUCUGAAAGUAGAAGAGCAGAGAAAAAAAUCCACAACAACUGAAUGGAAUUGGAAAACAAAUUUGUCUUGAUUGUAUUCCCAUCUGCUUUGGGCUCGAUUUCAUUAGCUUUCCUGAAAGGGAACUUCUGUCAGAAAAGUUUAUGAAGGCACUGUUUUUUAGUAUAUAUUGAAGAACAGUUGUAGGAGUUGUAUUUUUGUUUUUUGGCUUCUUGUUUGAGGGCUCCUGCAUCCCCGUUCUUUACGUACUAUGAAAAUAACCUGUGUUGUUUAGUCUGAUUAAAGCUUCUAAAUAAGGUAAGGAGCAUACAUUAGUCACUGAAUUCCUUCACAGAAACAACAACGAAUUCAAGUAAAUUGUGAUCUGUCCAUGUCUAAUACACAAAUAUAAGGAGGGACUAAAGCCAGC
ensembl:lncRNA